UAUUUCUGAGGGUCGCACGGUAUAGCGGUCACACUGCUCUGGACGUGAUUGCGGUAAAAGUUUUUUGUUUUUUGGAUUUUUCGGACAAAAUAUUGCUCGUAAUCCGUCUUUAUCGAACUUGUGCAACGAAAAUCGUAAACGAAGCGGCACUCUGGCUGCAGGCCACAAAAUAAAAGAUAUGGGCACUAAUUUGUACUAAAAUGAAAGUGGAAAUCGUGUGAUGUCAUGUUGGCGACAAAACUGUGCUCUGCCGUUUUUGGUUAAUUGAAAUAACUUCCUGCGCUGCUGCGCUGCUAACUGCUUUUGUGUGGGUGUGGGCGAGUGUGCAACACGCGCCUGGAAUAUAAUUGUUGUUUUAAGUGCGACAAGUGCAAAGACAAACACAUUUCGGUUUGUGGGUAAAGAAUUGAAUUGAACAGAAAUUCCAAUUUUCAUUCCACUCCACUGAAGACCAGCACAAAAGAGAAAAGGUAAAACGCACACGCACACACAGCGCAGCGCAGAGCUGAGAACAUCACAGGGUGUGUGUGUGUGUGGAGUUAUGAACGCCUCCCCACAUUUUGCAUGUGUGUGUGCGUGAACGGGAAGCAGCAGAAGCUCCAGCAGCGCUCCCACAACCCCCCGCACUCCACGUUCGGGAUAAACAAAGAGAAAGGAACAACUUUUAUUGAUUUCCCUCCAAAAACAAAAAUAGAGGGAGAACAAGAAAUCUACGAUUCCGCCCAAGCAACAGGAGAGACAGGAGGAGCCGCUGCCACGCCUUCGGGCUGCAUUUACCGUCCGAUCCAGCCACAUUCCCCCCUCCAGAAGCAGCACCCCCGUGCCCACCAGCCAUGUCCAGUCCCAGCCAAACGGAGGGGAGCCAAUCCCUCGAGGAGCUGCGCAUGGAAGUGGAGCGUCUGACCCGGGAGCUUGACCAGGUCUCCUCCGCCAGCGCCCAGUCGGCGCAAUAUGGCUUGUCCCUGCUGGAGGAGAAGUCGGCGCUGGAGCAGAAGUGCGAGGAGCUGGAAACGCUAUACGAUAACACACGGCAUGAGCUGGACAUCACGCAAGAGGCCCUCACAAAGUUCCAGAGCUCACAGAAGGUCACCAACAAGACGGGCAUCGAGCAGGAGGAUGCACUGCUCAACGAGUCCGCUGCCAGGGAAACCUCGCUCAAUCUGCAGAUCUUUGACCUGGAGAACGACACGAAACAGCUGCGCCAUGAGCUGGAGCGUGUGCGGAACGAGCGCGAUCGAAUGCUACAGGAGAACUCGGACUUUGGUCGGGACAAGAGCGACAACGAGGCGGAGCGACUCCGUCUCAAGUCCGAGCUGAAGGAUCUAAAGUUCCGCGAGACGCGUAUGCUUAGCGAGUACUCGGAGUUGGAGGAGGAGAACAUAUCUCUGCAGAAGCAGGUUUCCAAUCUGCGGAGCUCGCAGGUGGAAUUUGAAGGUGCCAAACACGAGAUUCGUCGUCUCACCGAGGAAGUUGAGCUGCUGAAUCAACAGGUCGAUGAGCUGGCGAAUCUCAAGAAGAUUGCCGAAAAGCAAAUGGAGGAGGCGCUGGAGGCAUUGCAGGGGGAACGCGAGGCAAAGUAUGCGCUGAAGAAAGAGCUGGAUGGCCACUUGAACCGCGAGUCCAUGUAUCACAUCAGCAAUCUGGCCUACAGCAUACGCAACAAUAUGGAGGACAAUGUCAGCCAGAAUUCGGAUGGCGAGGAGGAGAAUCUAGCACUGAAACGCCUGGAGGCUGACCUGAGCACCGAACUGAAGUCUCCCGAUGGCACCAAAUGCGAUCUCUUCUCCGAAAUCCAUCUGAACGAGCUGAAGAAGCUCGAAAAGCAGCUGGAGAGCAUGGAGAACGAGAAGACCCAUCUGACGGCCAAUCUACGGGAGGCACAAACGAGUCUGGACAAGUCACAAAAUGAGUUGCAGAACUUCAUGUCCCGCCUGGCACUAUUGGCCGCCCAUGUGGAUGCUUUGGUGCAGCUGAAAAAGCAGAUCGAUGUCAAGGACCAGACGGCUGGCGAGGACCAGAAGGAUGAACUGCAGCAGCAGCUGCGGGCAAUCAUCUCGCAGUACGCGAACUGGUUUACGCUCUCAGCCAAGGAGAUCGAUGGCCUCAAGACUGACAUUUCCGAGCUUCAAAAGGGCCUGAACUACACGGAUGCCACCACCACGUUGCGCAACGAGGUGACCAAUCUGAAGAACAAGCUUCUGGCCACCGAGCAAAAGUCCCUGGAUCUGCAGAGCGAUGUGCAGACCCUUACGCACAUCUCCCAGAAUGCCGGCCAGAGCCUGGGCUCGGCGCGCAGCACUCUGGUGGCCCUCAGCGAUGAUCUGGCUCAGCUUUAUCAUCUGGUCUGCACUGUCAAUGGGGAGACGCCCACGCGUGUCCUACUGGAUCAUAAGAGCGAUGAUAUGAGCUUUGAAAACGAUUCGCUUACUGCCAUCCAAUCACAGUUCAAGUCUGAUGUAUUCAUUGCUCGUCCUCAAAUCGUUGAGGAUCUACAGGGUUUGGCUGAUUCGGUGGAGAUCAAGAGGUAUGUGGACACGGUCAGCGACCAGAUCAAGCAUUUGAAGACAGCUGUGGAGCAUACCAUCGAUUUGAACAAACACAAAGUUCGCUCCGAGGGUGGAGAUGCUGUGGAAAAGGGCAACACCGAGGAAAUGGAAGAGUUGCAGGAGCAAAUAGUCAAGCUCAAGAGUUUGCUGUCGGUGAAACGCGAACAAAUCGGAACCCUGCGCAAUGUGCUCAAGUCAAACAAACAAACCGCCGAGGUGGCUCUCACCAAUCUCAAGUCCAAGUACGAGAACGAGAAGAUCAUUGUCAGCGACACCAUGUCCAAGCUGCGUAACGAGCUCCGUUUGCUCAAAGAAGAUGCAGCCACCUUCUCCAGUCUGCGUGCCAUGUUUGCUGCACGCUGCGAGGAGUAUGUCACUCAGGUGGAUGAUCUCAAUCGCCAGCUGGAGGCUGCCGAGGAGGAGAAGAAGACUCUCAAUCAGCUGCUGCGUCUGGCUGUCCAGCAGAAGCUGGCCCUCACCCAGCGUCUGGAGGAGAUGGAAAUGGAUCGGUGGGUGCAUUUGGGUCGCUAAAAGUCAGCCAUCAAUCCCCUACACACAUCUGUUACUGUCAUAAAGUUUAUGUUCUCCCUUGUAUCCCUCCCAAUUUUUGAGACUCCAGCAUUCGUGAAAUGCGUCAUGUUCGUCGUCCGAUGCCACCGCAGAGCGGCACACGCGGCAAAUCGUCGUUCAGUACACGUCCAUCGAGCAGGAAUCCAGCGAGCAGUAAUGCCAAUCCCUUCUAACAUAAAAUCAGCGUGCAGCGUAAACUUUUGGCUUUAGUUUAUACUUUGCUUAAGUUGUAAGUUCGUUGGAGUUCCUUCAGAGAGAAAGAGAUCAUAUAUAAAGAGAUCAGGCUGCAGCCUGCAGCAAUACACAAAAAUGAACUGCGGAUUGCAGAUUGAGAACGAAGCUAUAACUAUUCUCCAUCUAACUACUAUAACUAUAUAUUUGUUUCUAUUGUAUUUGUAUUUAUUGAAAGUUUAGUUAGAAUGAAAGUUUUGUGUUAGACAAGAUCGAAAGGAAGCAGGAAGCAGUAAAUGGUUAUUAACGGUUAGUUACUUAAACGUCCAAUUAAUUUAAUUAAAAUGAAAACGAAAGAAGAGUGUGAGGUCACGAGAAGAUGUAACGUAACGAAUUGUAUUUUUAUAAAUGCGAAUCGAAUGUACCAUAUCGAUUCGAUAGCGUCCUAGUUUGAUUUCAAUCUGAGUUUUGUUAAGUUUCGCGUUGAAUAUUUGAUUUUUGUUAUCAACGCUGUGCGCAAGCAAACAAAAGAAGAAACGAAAAAAGUUGAUAAAGAAUGUUGAUGUUGAACAAACGAAAUGGUAUUGGCAAUUGAGGAAUCAUGUAUUAAUUGGCCUGCCCUGCCCGAUAACCAAGAGUAUUUUCACACGGGUUUACAGUCGUACCCCUAAAAACGUACGUAACAUGAACAAGAGGAGACCCUCCCUCCUCGCCGAAAUGUAUAUUAUCGAUGGUGUUUGGAAGCCAUUGUAGUACCAACACUGUAGCAAACAGUCUACAAAGUCUCAAAGACGAUUCUGAUGAUGAUUAUUUGUAUUUAUAGAGCGCCACUGGGGCCUCGCCAAAAUGAUUGAAUUGUAGGAAAUUAAUUAUUGUUUGCAAUGAAGAAAAAACGUAGUUUUUUUGUGGUUCACACUUAGCAUUAAUUGCAGAAAUAACAUAUGAUUUGUGCAUUAUUAUUUAAUUCAAUUAAAAAAUAUCAAAAACACAUAAAACUAUCAAGCAAGUAGUUAAGAAUUUGUUUUCAUUUCGAAUGAGUUUUUGUGUUUGUUGCUGUACGAAAAUGUACAAUUCCUUGUGCCACGUCCCCCAAUGAGACCAUUAGACGAACCUUUUGUCAUAUAUGUAUUCUUUCAGCAGCAACAAGCUCUAAUGGCCUUAAUAUGAUAUACAUAUGGUUUAACACACACAAAAUAAAUAACUAUGGUGAUUACCAAGCAGCUUAACCAACAUACAAAAUAGCAAGACAAAGCGUUAAAGUUUAAAUAAAUAUUAUUAUCGUAGCUAAUUAAACACGAAAGUAGUGUCCAGCAACCAGAGCACAUUAUCUAGUAGCAGUCCCCGUCCCCUCUACCCUACAAGAGAUGGAAACUUACAAAUUUGUUGCUUCUUUUUGGGUUCACGAUGUUUCGUUUUCGUUGUCAAUCGGAAGAGGUGGAGAUUCUACAUGAAAUUUAUAUAUACAAGAUCGUAUAUUGUGUAAAUUACCGAGCCAUUAAAUUGAAUUUAUAUUUAAAGUACACAAAUGACAC